CAGCCGCCACGGUAAUACGUAGGGUGCGAGCGUUAAUCGGAAUUACUGGGCGUAAAGCGUGCGCAGGCGGUUGUUUAAGACAGGUGUGAAAUCCCCGGGCUUAACCUGGGAACUGCGCUUGUGACUGCACAGCUAGAGUAUGGCAGAGGGGGGUGGAAUUCCACGUGUAGCAGUGAAAUGCGUAGAGAUGUGGAGGAACACCGAUGGCGAAGGCAGCCCCCUGGGCCAAUACUGACGCUCAUGCACGAAAGCGUGGGGAGCAAACAGGAUUAGAUACCCCCGUAGUCCCUGUCUCUUAUAC
rnacentral:rRNA from 1 species